CACGUAGGGUGCAAGCGUUGUCCGGAAUCAUUGGGCGUAAAGAGCUCGUAGGCGGCUUAGUAAGUCGGGUGUGAAACCUCCAGGCUCAACCUGGAGACGCCACCCGAUACUGCUAUAGCUAGAGUCCAGUAGGGGAGUGCGGAAUUCCCGGUGUAGCGGUGAAAUGCGCAGAUAUCAGGAGGAACACCGGUGGCGAAGGCGGGUCUCUGGGCCGAUACUGACGCUGAGGAGCGAAAGCGUGGGGAGCAAACAGG
rnacentral:rRNA from 1 species